rnacentral:rRNA from 1 species
GACGAACGCUGGCGGCGUGCUUAACACAUGCAAGUCGAACGGAAAGGCCCUGCUUUUGUGGGGUGCUCGAGUGGCGAACGGGUGAGUAACACGUGAGUAACCUGCCCUUGACUUUGGGAUAACUUCAGGAAACUGGGGCUAAUACCGGAUAGGAGCUCCUGCUGCAGGGUGGGGGUUGGAAAGUUUCGGCGGUUGGGGAUGGACUCGCGGCUUAUCAGCUUGUUGGUGGGGUAGUGGCUUACCAAGGUUUUGACGGGAGGCCGGCCUGGGGGGGUGCCCGGCCACAUUGGGACUGCGAUACGGCCCAGAAUCCUUCGGGAGGCAGCAGUGGGGAAUAUUGCACAAUGGGCGGAAGCCUGAUGCAGCAACGCCGCGUGCGGGAUGACGGCCUUCGGGUUGUAAACCGCUUUCGCCUGUGACGAAGCGUGAGUGACGGUAAUGGGUAAAGAAGCACCGGCUAACUACGUG